UCGGUUCCCAUAUUAGGGCAGAUGCGAAUGUGUGUGUAUAAAAAUAGUUCAAGGCAUUCUCCACAGCCCAUCGCUUCAAAUCCCUCCGGAGAGCUUUUUAAUUUACAGAGCUGAGGGAAGCGUCUGUCUUCAGUUGAUAGAGUUUGGAAGGAUAAUGAUCCAGCAUUGGCUUCCUUCAUCAGUCGUGUGACAUCACAACAAACUCUGGAUGGAGGUGCAGAUACAAACAGGCCGUCCUGUGAUCUUGAGAUGGGGAUGCACUCCCUUUGCAUACCGCCCUCCCGUUUGUUUUCCCCACCCCUUUCAGUUCCUCCUAUAAACUUUGUAGCGUGUCCUGAGAGCCUGUGUGUCCACAUCCAACAUUCUCCUGCUGCUUCACACUUUACCUUUUAUCUGAAAGGACUGCUUCCACCUCAGGCUGACAUUUAACGGGCACCACAAGAACGUAACAGCACCCCUAUCUCCAUCCGUCCAUUCCUCUCACUGCCACUAGUCUGCAGUCUUCAUCAGGAUGGAGAGGGUGCAGCACAUGGCACGCUCAGCCAUCCGGAGGGCGUCCAACAUCGAAGUGAACCCGCAGACCAAACGCAACCUACAAGAUCUCAUCAUCAACUUCUCCCUCAUCCUCAUCUGCCUGCUGCUCAUCUACAUCAUCGUCUUGCUCAUGUGACAGCAAAAGGCUACAACCGGCCAAUCGCAAGAUGCACUGUACAAGACCUUGGACAAUUUCUGGGAAUUGAAAAUGUCCUACUGAUGAUGCAAUGCAUGUUAAUUUCCUGAAAUGAUUCGAGGGCUGCACUAAUUUUUCUUCAUUUAUGUUUGUUGCAUUAUUCUUACAACAAUAAGCAUAUUUUUGACCUUUGGAUGAGUACAAAUCUCAUAUUGUUCAUAUAUAUUUUGUAUCGGGAUAUACAUAAAACAUACAAAAUUGCAUGUUAGGUAAAUUCAGAUAUGUUUUGUAUAUGAAUGAAGACCACACAGAAGGAAUUGGUCAUAUGAUAGUUCACAAAGACACAAAGAAUGAACAUCAAAAUGCCUGUAAUUUCUGGCAAAAGUAACUCCCAUCAGCAAACAGCAAUUCCUUUAAGUGCCAAGUCAUUUAUGUAAAUAUUCCCCUCAAAAAAUCUCAUAAUUGUUGUGUUGAAAUGCAAAAUUUAUAGGUCAGUCCCAGAAAUCAUAUAUUAUUCACAGAGGAACAGAGCAUGUUGGCACUAAGGUAAAUUACGCUUGUACACUUAACAUAUUAAUGUCUGUUUACACUUCCUUUGGACACGAUCUGAGAAAGAGAGAGCUAAAAUGGGUAAUUUAAGGAUGUUUUUAAAUGUGGACAACCAAUAAAGAGAAAGUUUGUUUUAAAUGAUCCAACUGACUGAAUUUUUCAAACAAAAGAAGCAAGAAAUAAACCAUGUGUAGAUCCUGUUCAAGGCACUGAAGCGGAAAACCAUAAAAAGCACCGUAAAAAGCACUUAAAGUGCAUUUAAAGGUUUAUUUCAGCUACAAAUAAGAAUACUAAACUUCCCCUUGUUCCAAACCUAUAUGCAUUUUUUAAUAAAAUACACAUACAAAUGUAAAGAAUCUAUUUGUUUCAUAGUUUAUACAAAGUUGUAAAUAAAACAAUGAUUACUGGGGAACAUUUCUUUGUAAUUAUUUGUAAAAGUUACUAGCAAUUUCUGAGUGAAAAUUGUUUCUACACCAACUUUUUUUUUUUCAGACUAGUUCUGUUCCUAUGACUUUAGAAGACUUCAAAUAUCUCAC
ensembl:lncRNA